rnacentral:rRNA from 1 species
GGCCCAACACAUGCAAUUCGAGCGGUAACAUUUCUAGCUUGCUAGAAGAUGACGAGCGGCGGACGGGUGAGAAAUGCUUGGGAAUAUGCCUUAGGGUGGGGGACAACAGUUGGAAACGACUGCUAAUACCGCAUAACGUCUACGGACCAAAGGGGGCUUCGGCUCUCGCCCUUAGAUUAGCCCAAGUGGGAUUAGCUAGUUGGUGAGGUAAUGGCUCACCAAGGCGACGAUCCCUAGCUGGCUUGAGAGGAUGAUCAGCCACACUGGAACUGAGACACGGUCCAGACUCCUACGGGAGGCAGCAGUGGGGAAUAUUGCACAAUGGGCGCAAGCCUGAUGCAGCCAUGCCGCGUGUGUGAAGAAGGCCUUAGGGUUGUAAAGCACUUUCAGUAAGGAGGAAAGGUUAGUAGUUAAUACCUGCUGGCUGUGACGUUACUUACAGAAGAAGCACCGGCUAACUCCGUGCCAGCAGCCGCGGUAAUACGGAGGGUGCGAGCGUUAAUCGGAAUUACUGGGCGUAAAGCGUACGCAGGCGGUUUGUUAAGCGAGAUGUGAAAGCCCCGGGCUCAACCUGGGAACUGCAUUUCGAACUGGCAAACUAGAGUAUGAUAGAGGGUGGUAGAAUUUCAGGU